rnacentral:rRNA from 1 species
AGUGAACGCUGGCGGUAGGCCUAACACAUGCAAGUCGAACGGCAGCACAGUAAGAGCUUGCUCUUACGGGUGGCGAGUGGCGGACGGGUGAGGAAUACAUCGGAAUCUACUUUUUCGUGGGGGAUAACGUAGGGAAACUUACGCUAAUACCGCAUACGACCUACGGGUGAAAGCAGGGGAUCUUCGGACCUUGCGCGAUUGAAUGAGCCGAUGUCGGAUUAGCUAGUUGGCGGGGUAAAGGCCCACCAGGGCGACGAUCCGUAGCUGGUCUGAGAGGAUGAUCAGCCACACUGGAACUGAGACACGGUCCAGACUCCUACGGGAGGCAGCAGUGGGGAAUAUUGGACAAUGGGCGCAAGCCUGAUCCAGCCAUACCGCGUGGGUGAAGAAGGCCUUCGGGUUGUAAAGCCCUUUUGUUGGGAAAGAAAAGCAGCAGGUUAAUACCCCGCUGUUCUGACGGUACCCAAAGAAUAAGCACCGGCUAACCUCGUG